rnacentral:rRNA from 1 species
GAUGAACGCUGGCGGCGUGCCUAAUACAUGCAAGUCGAGCGAACAGAUGAGGAGCUUGUUCCUCCGACGUUAGCGGCGGACGGGUGAGUAACACGUGGAUAACCUACCUAUAAGCCUGGGAUAACUUCGGGAAACCGGAGCUAAUACCGGAUAAUAUCUUGAACCGCAUGGUUCAAUAGUGAAAGACGGUUUUGCUGUCACUUAUAGAUGGCUCCGGGCCGCAUUAGCUAGUUGGUAAGGUAACGGCUUACCAAGGCAACGAUGCGUAGCCGACCUGAGAGGGUGAUCGGCCACACUGGAACUGAGACACGGUCCAGACUCCUACGGGAGGCAGCAGUAGGGAAUCUUCCGCAAUGGGCGAAAGCCUGACGGAGCAACGCCGCGUGAGUGAUGAAGGUCUUCGGAUCGUAAAACUCUGUUAUUAGGGAAGAACAAAUGUGUAAGUAACUAUGCACGUCUUGACGGUACCUAAUCAGAAAGCCACGGCUAACUACGUG